rnacentral:rRNA from 1 species
UGGGGAAUUUUGGACAAUGGGGGAAACCCUGAUCCAGCCAUCCCGCGUGUGCGAUGAAGGCCUUCGGGUUGUAAAGCACUUUUGGCAGGAAAGAAACGUCGCGGGUUAAUACCCCGCGGAACUGACGGUACCUGCAGAAUAAGCACCGGCUAACUACGUGCCAGCAGCCGCGGUAAUACGUAGGGUGCAAGCGUUAAUCGGAAUUACUGGGCGUAAAGCGUGCGCAGGCGGUUCGGAAAGAAAGAUGUGAAAUCCCAGAGCUUAACUUUGGAACUGCAUUUUUAACUACCGGGCUAGAGUGUGUCAGAGGGAGGUGGAAUUCCGCGUGUAGCAGUGAAAUGCGUAGAUAUGCGGAGGAACACCGAUGGCGAAGGCAGCCUCCUGGGAUAACACUGACGCUCAUGCACGAAAGCGUGGGGAGCAAAACAGGAUUAGAUACCCUGGUAGUCCACGCCCUAAACGAUGUCAACUAGCUAGUUGGGGUCUUCGGACCUUGGUAGCGCAGCUAACGCGUGAAG